rnacentral:rRNA from 1 species
GACGAACGCUGGCGGCGUGCUUAACACAUGCAAGUCGAACGCUGAUCCACUUUCGGGUGGUGAUGAGUGGCGAACGGGUGAGUAACACGUGGGUAAUCUGCCCUGCACUCUGGGAUAAGCCUUGGAAACGGGGUCUAAUACCGGAUAUCACACUCUUGGGCAUCCAGGGGUGUUGAAAGUUCUGGCGGUGCAGGAUGAACCCGCGGCCUAUCAGCUUGUUGGUGGGGUAANAGCCUACCAAGGCGACGACGGGUAGCCGGCCUGAGAGGGUGACCGGCCACACUGGGACUGAGACACGGCCCAGACUCCUACGGGAGGCAGCAGUGGGGAAUAUUGCACAAUGGGCGAAAGCCUGAUGCAGCGACGCCGCGUGAGGGAUGACGGCCUGGU